rnacentral:rRNA from 1 species
UACGUAGGGUGCGAGCGUUGUCCGGAUUUAUUGGGCGUAAAGAGCUCGUAGGCGGUUUGUCGCGUCGGCCGUGAAAUCUCCACGCUUAACGUGGAGCGUGCGGUCGAUACGGGCAGACUUGAGUUCGGUAGGGGAGACUGGAAUUCCUGGUGUAGCGGUGGAAUGCGCAGAUAUCAGGAGGAACACCGGUGGCGAAGGCGGGUCUCUGGGCAGUAACUGACGCUGAGGAGCGAAAGCGUGGGGAGCGAACAGG